GCCGUUGUCCUGUUACUGGAGACAGGCACCUCAUGACAGAGAAGCCGUACCACAGUGCUUCACAGAUAAUAUCACCGAUGUUGAAACUCUGCCACUGGCCGGACCUUUUCAGAGGAAUAAGAAAACAUGUCACCGGUAUUUUUUUUCCACCCGAGUCCAUUUAACAACCUCUAAGCAGCAUGUUUCUUCCUGUUCUCAGCCUGUUGUAAGCUCUGAGCAGUGCUGUACCAGGAGAAGGCCAUUUAAAAGGCCUCCUGAGACCGGGUCAUUUAUGUCAGCAAGGUGUUUUGUGAAAUUAACACAUACUACUUGUCAUGGGGCUAUUGUAACAGAAAUCUAUUCCUCUGCAGUUGCCUCCUGAGACUACAAAUCAUUUUCCCCGCCUGGAGCCAUGUUUUCUAAAAGAAAGCCAAGAGAUGGCUUUAGGUUAUUAUGGAGGUGACAUUGUGGGCUCGAGCACAGUCAGGCUCCUGUGAUUUUUUUUUUGAAACUGAUGGAUGCAGUUGUUAAAAAGAUACUAUGACUUUAAAAAGUUACAAAGCUCCAAGCUCUUAACUUUUUCAUACUUUUUAACCUCAGACCUCAUUUUUGAAGAGUGAACUGUCAGACUUUGGGUUUCUAAAUUGUCCUUUCUUGUGGUUAUAGUCACAGUGUCACAGGGAGACUCAUUUCCCUGGACUUGUGUCAAGCCGUCAGCACUGUGAACAUCGCUUAAUCAUUGUAAGCUUCUCCUUUAUUUGUAAAGGGAGGAGAUUGGACCUCCCUGUCUUCACGCAGUGCCUACUGCGCGGUAUGGCUUACUUUAUGAGAAAUUUAGAUCGGUUCAUAGAAUACAUACAAAAGCGCCCAUCUCAGAUGAUUGUGAUGCAAAAUAGGGGGAUAAUUGUGUUUGAGCUCUUUCUUGUAUUUGAGGCCUCGCCAACAACCUCCUGACAACUACCUUCGGUAUAUUUCGCCAACUUGACAACUCCUGACAACUUGAUUCAAGCAGGUUAUGCUCCCAAGGCACCUAGGCUCACUUCUGCAAUCCCAGCUGCCAAAUCCUGAUGCAGGAGGAUAAGAGGCUUAAGGUUAACCUCAGCCACACAAGCCCAGCCACACCUACCCUGGAGGAAUGUCCGCAGUGUUGCUUGGUACUGUCGGCUGCUCGACCUCACUUGUAACUCAAGUACAGAAACAAUUGAUGCUGUAAUUUACAGUUACCAAUAACGUCGUGUCAAGCAUUCAUAUAAUUCACACGUGCAUAGAAAUUAAUGAUCCCUCUGUGACUCAGCCUUCACAUCAAGAUGGAGAACUCUCAUCUCCUCCGACACUAUGUCUGCCUGUGUCUGCCAUGCUCUCUGACAUGAUGAUAAUGGACUAAACCUCUGAAACUGCCAGCCAGCUCCAAUUAAAUGAUUGCCUUUAUAAGAGUUGCCUCGGUCAUGGAACCCUAAGACAGGUGCUAUAGUGAUUUUGCUAAUCAAAAUUUUGGGAACAAAAAUACACCACGAUCAUAUCUUGCCAAUGUGAGAGUCUAUUAUCAUUGUAUAAAGAACUUUUGUGGUUGCUUGUGACCCCAACCAAGACCCUUUGGGGUGGAGGUAAGAAGGCAGAGUCAAUGACGCAGACUCCAGGAGUCAGGCAAGUGGCAAAAGCAGACUUGUUUAUUGCUGUAACUCAGCAGAUCUUCAUAUCCCCCUCUCAGCCUUUCAUUGCAUCUCAAGUAGCCAGAUGGAGAACUAUCUCUUUCUCAUUGGCUUGCUCUAUCACUGGAUCCAGUACCAGCAGUCCCUAGCCACACUGGUAGAUCUAGGUAGGCUUGGGGAGGAAGAAUCAAGCAGUGCAUGCACCAGCAUUGUAGCUAGUUUCUCCUACAUUUUUAAAAAUUUUGACUUGAUUCCUGUGAUGGUUUGUAUAUCCUUGGCCUGGGGAGUGGCACUAUUAGGAGGUGUGGCCCUGUUGAAGUGGGUGUGGCCUUUUUGGAGGAGGUGUUGCCUUUUUGGAGUAGGUGUGUCACUGUGGGCGUGGUCUUAAGACCUUCACUCUAGCUGCCUGGAAGCCAGCAUUCUCCUAGCAGCCUUCAGAUGAAGAUGUAAAACUCUCAGCUCUGCCUGAACCGUCCCUGCCUGGACGCUGCCAUGCUCCUGCCUUGACGAUAAUGGACUGAACCUCUGAACCUGUUAAGCCAGCCAUAAUUAAAUGUUGUCCUUUAUAAGAUUUGCCUUAGUCAUGAUGUCUGUACACAGCAGCAAAAUUCUAAGACAAUUCCCAAUCAUAGGAAAAAUGUCCUAUGUGCCAAUUCUGGCGAUGUUUCUUGCCUUUUAUAACUAACUCAUUAUCUCAAACAUCACUGCCUUCCCUCUGAGUUUACACUGAAUGCAUAUUACAGAAAGUCCACAUUAUUUCCAGCUUUCUCAGUACUGUGGGGCUUUUGUAGGACUCUGGGAGUAUAUAACAGUGUCUUUAGAAGCUCUGUAUCAUUCACGAUGUAUAAUAGACGUAGUUUCAGUUCCUAACCGGAAGUCAGAGGGAAUUGCUAAUCAACCUGAAGUUGCCUUCAUAAAGUUGUUAAUUUUUCUCAUAGUCUUACAUCCUUCAAAUCUAUAAGCAAUUUUCUAUGUGUUCUACUGAGGAAAAUUAUUGGUGUAAAAUUAUAAAAAGCUGUCUUUUACCCUGCUAGGUCCAUCACUGCAGUGCCCCAAGAUAUCUGAUAGAUAUCAUAGUUUCAGUCAGCAAAGCAUCUCACCCGCUCUGCUCCAUUCCUUAUCACAUUGCCAAAGGCCUCCCUCUGAGCCUGGCAGCUAUCUCUCUAUACAUCCAGUUCCCAUAGUAGGUUUCCAUGCCAGAAAGACACAUUCCAUCUCUGUGGCAGCCCAGACUAGCCACCACACACUCUCUUGCACUUAAAUCUAUCUGUACAUGAAAGAACAUACAACACAAUAACCUCUGAUCCAAUUGAUAAGAUAUAAUUGCCCACCUAAACAUACAAAGCCCUGUUCACAUCCAGCCCUUAAGAACAUUCAUAACAACCUGUAAAAGCACAACAUGGAAUCUUAACAUCAGCUUCCUUGUUCUCUCUCCACAGCUACUCUCAGUCUCCUCCUGUCUCUUCCUCCUUUCCGUUCCAGUCUCCUCCCCUUCCCUCAAACUUUUCUCCCAUCCAUCCUUCCUUCUUGUCCAAUGACAGGCCUCAUUCUAUCCUAUACCGGCCCUCACCUGUAUGACAUCAUCCUACAGAAAAUAUGUCUCUAGAGGUACAUUCUCCUGAUUCGUUUAUACGAGAUAUCUGUGUCUUUAAGCUUUAUCGUUACAGAAGUUCACUUGGAAAGACUAUGAUGUCUCCAUUGACAUUUGAGCUGUGAAGCCUGCUGCCAUCUUAAUGAUUCAUUUCAUCGACUGGACUUGUAAUCCAGAAUGUAUGGCCAGAAUGGUCAAGAAGUUAUGUCUUAUAGAAAUAACUCCACAUCCAUGAAUCUACAUUACAGUACUGACCAGAUGGGCUAUGGGUACCACCUUCUCCUCCUAAUAUUAAUGUCUAAGGUUCUAUAGAAGAAGCAGCCCAUGUGUUUGUUACUGGAAUGUUCCAGAAAAGAUUAAAGGGAAAGGGGAGGAAGAAGCUGGAGUGGGGGAGACAGAAUAAAAAGGAGGAAAACAGAACACAGAGUGUGGAGUCUUUAUAUUCAAGUCAACAUUGCUCACAUAAUCUCUGCCUGCUUCUUGGGCUAGGAUUUGAUCCCUAGUAGGUAGGUAGGUUCAUGUUGUGGUCUAAUUAAUCUAUCCAGAAUACACAACCUAGGUAACACAGACAUUCUGAUCAAUUAUUUUCAAAGUUGAUUUACUUAGUUGAGAGAUGUUAUUUGCUUAUUAAUGAAGAAGCUGAAUGAAGAACUUUAAUAGAAUACAUUAGCUUGAUGGUUAAACAAAACUGGACAUUACAGUCAUUGCUGUAAUAUUCCUAUCACAGAGGUCAAAUGUGAUGAUGUUUACUUUUCAAAAUACGUUUAAAAAACUGAGAUUGUGUCGGCUUAAACACAUUUCUAUUGUUCCACUAUGGCUUUGCUCUAAGUCAAGUUGGACGGCAGGAUGGGAGUGGGACAAUCAAAGCCCAGAGCCGACACAAGCAGAGAGGAGUUCUCAUUACAAAUCAUGAUCUAUAAGGUGGGGUAGA